GUGUUGCAUGAAAGGAGAGAAGGUUAGCACUUCCUCUGACAAGGAUGCAAAAGGCCCUUCAACCUGACAACAAGCAUACUUUUGAGACACAGAGGAAUAAUUGCUUAAUUUUUUUU
rnacentral:ncRNA from 1 species